GGGUUGUGAGGUUAAGCGACUAAGCGUACACGGUGGAUGCCCUGGCAGUCAGAGGCGAUGAAGGACGUGCUAAUCUGCGAUAAGCGCCGGUAAGGUGAUAUGAACCGUUAUAACCGGCGAUUUCCGAAUGGGGAAACCCAGUGUGAUUCGUCACACUAUCAUUAACUGAAUCCAUAGGUUAAUGAGGCGAACCGGGGGAACUGAAACAUCUAAGUACCCCGAGGAAAAGAAAUCAACCGAGAUUCCCCCAGUAGCGGCGAGCGAACGGGGAGGAGCCCAGAGCCUGAAUCAGCAUGUGUGUUAGUGGAAGCGUCUGGAAAGGCGCGCGAUACAGGGUGACAGCCCCGUACACAAAAGCGCAUGUGCUGUGAGCUCGAUGAGUAGGGCGGGACACGUGGUAUCCUGUCUGAAUAUGGGGGGACCAUCCUCCAAGGCUAAAUACUCCUGACUGACCGAUAGUGAACCAGUACCGUGAGGGAAAGGCGAAAAGAACCCCGGCGAGGGGAGUGAAAAAGAACCUGAAACCGUGUACGUACAAGCAGUGGGAGCACAGGUUUACCUGUGUGACUGCGUACCUUUUGUAUAAUGGGUCAGCGACUUAUAUUCUGUAGCAAGGUUAACCGUAUAGGGGAGCCGGAGGGAAACCGAGUCUUAAUUGGGCGUUAAGUUGCAGGGUAUAGACCCGAAACCCGGUGAUCUAGCCAUGGGCAGGUUGAAGGUUGGGUAACACUAACUGGAGGACCGAACCGACUAAUGUUGAAAAAUUAGCGGAUGACCUGUGGCUGGGGGUGAAAGGCCAAUCAAACCGGGAGAUAGCUGGUUCUCCCCGAAAGCUAUUUAGGUAGCGCCUCGUGAAUUCAUCUCCGGGGGUAGAGCACUGUUUCGGCUAGGGGGCCAUCCCGGCUUACCAACCCGAUGCAAACUGCGAAUACCGGAGAAUGUUAUCACGGGAGACACACGGCGGGUGCUAACGUCCGUCGUGAAGAGGGAAACAACCCAGACCGCCAGCUAAGGUCCCAAAGUCAUGGUUAAGUGGGAAACGAUGUGGGAAGGCCCAGACAGCCAGGAUGUUGGCUUAGAAGCAGCCAUCAUUUAAAGAAAGCGUAAUAGCUCACUGGUCGAGUCGGCCUGCGCGGAAGAUGUAACGGGGCUAAACCAUGCACCGAAGCUGCGGCAGCGAACGUAUCACCCAAGACAACUUUACGGAGUUGACGAUUGACGGAGCGAAGCGACGUCAAAGCGUUCAUUAAAGUCGAGUUGGCUUAGGGAUACGUUCGUUGGGUAGGGGAGCGUUCUGUAAGCCUGUGAAGGUGUGUCGUGAGGCAUGCUGGAGGUAUCAGAAGUGCGAAUGCUGACAUAAGUAACGAUAAAGCGGGUGAAAAGCCCGCUCGCCGGAAGACCAAGGGUUCCUGUCCAACGUUAAUCGGGGCAGGGUGAGUCGACCCCUAAGGCGAGGCCGAAAGGCGUAGUCGAUGGGAAACGGGUUAAUAUUCCCGUACUUGGUGUUACUGCGAAGGGGGGACGGAGAAGGCUAUGUUGGCCGGGCGACGGUUGUCCCGGUUUAAGCGUGUAGGUGUGUGUUCCAGGUAAAUCCGGUUCACUUUAACACUGAGGCGUGACGACGAGGCACUACGGUGCUGAAGCAACAAAUGCCCUGCUUCCAGGAAAAGCCUCUAAGCAUCAGGUAACACGAAAUCGUACCCCAAACCGACACAGGUGGUCAGGUAGAGAAUACCAAGGCGCUUGAGAGAACUCGGGUGAAGGAACUAGGCAAAAUGGUGCCGUAACUUCGGGAGAAGGCACGCUGACACGUAGGUGAAGUGAUUUACUCAUGGAGCUGAAGUCAGUCGAAGAUACCAGCUGGCUGCAACUGUUUAUUAAAAACACAGCACUGUGCAAACACGAAAGUGGACGUAUACGGUGUGACGCCUGCCCGGUGCCGGAAGGUUAAUUGAUGGGGUCAGCGUAAGCGAAGCUCCUGAUCGAAGCCCCGGUAAACGGCGGCCGUAACUAUAACGGUCCUAAGGUAGCGAAAUUCCUUGUCGGGUAAGUUCCGACCUGCACGAAUGGCGUAAUGAUGGCCAGGCUGUCUCCACCCGAGACUCAGUGAAAUUGAACUCGCUGUGAAGAUGCAGUGUACCCGCGGCAAGACGGAAAGACCCCGUGAACCUUUACUAUAGCUUGACACUGAACAUUGAGCCUUGAUGUGUAGGAUAGGUGGGAGGCUUUGAAGUGUGGACGCCAGUCUGCAUGGAGCCGACCUUGAAAUACCACCCUUUAAUGUUUGAUGUUCUAACGUGGACCCGUAAUCCGGGUUGCGGACAGUGUCUGGUGGGUAGUUUGACUGGGGCGGUCUCCUCCUAAAGAGUAACGGAGGAGCACGAAGGUUGGCUAAUCCUGGUCGGACAUCAGGAGGUUAGUGCAAUGGCAUAAGCCAGCUUGACUGCGAGCGUGACGGCGCGAGCAGGUGCGAAAGCAGGUCAUAGUGAUCCGGUGGUUCUGAAUGGAAGGGCCAUCGCUCAACGGAUAAAAGGUACUCCGGGGAUAACAGGCUGAUACCGCCCAAGAGUUCAUAUCGACGGCGGUGUUUGGCACCUCGAUGUCGGCUCAUCACAUCCUGGGGCUGAAGUAGGUCCCAAGGGUAUGGCUGUUCGCCAUUUAAAGUGGUACGCGAGCUGGGUUUAGAACGUCGUGAGACAGUUCGGUCCCUAUCUGCCGUGGGCGCUGGAGAACUGAGGGGGGCUGCUCCUAGUACGAGAGGACCGGAGUGGACGCAUCACUGGUGUUCGGGUUGUCAUGCCAAUGGCACUGCCCGGUAGCUAAAUGCGGAAGAGAUAAGUGCUGAAAGCAUCUAAGCACGAAACUUGCCCCGAGAUGAGUUCUCCCUGAGACUUAGAGUCUCCUGAAGGAACGUUGAAGACGACGACGUUGAUAGGCCGGGUGUGUAAGCGCAGCGAUGCGUUGAGCUAACCGGUACUAAUGAACCGUGAGGCUUAACCUUACAACGCCGAAG
rnacentral:rRNA from 7 species